rnacentral:piRNA from 1 species
UAGAUAGAGGUGAGAAUUAAA